rnacentral:rRNA from 1 species
CGUAGGGUGCGAGCGUUGUCCGGAAUUAUUGGGCGUAAAGGGCUCGUAGGCGGUUUGUCACGUCGGGAGUGAAAACUCAGGGCUCAACCCUGAGCCUGCUUCCGAUACGGGCAGACUAGAGGUAUGCAGGGGAGAACGGAAUUCCUGGUGUAGCGGUGAAAUGCGCAGAUAUCAGGAGGAACACCAGUGGCGAAGGCGGUUCUCUGGGCAUUACCUGACGCUGAGGAGCGAAAGUGUGGGGAGCGAACAGGAUUAGAUACCCUGGUAGUCCACACCGUAAACGUUGGGCGCUAGGUGUGGGACUCAUUCCACGAGUUCCGUGCCGCAGCUAACGCAUUAAGCGCCCCGCCUGGGGAGUACGGCCGCAAGGCUA